AUUGUACUCCCUCCGUCCGGUAAUACUUGUCAUCAAAAUGGAUAAAAGUGAUGUAUCUAGACGUAUUUUAGUUCUAGAUAGAUACAUCUCUUUUUAUCCAUUUUGAUGACAAGUAUUUUUGGAUGGAGGGAGUAGUAG
rfam:Triticum aestivum genome assembly, contig: Triticum_aestivum_CS42_TGACv1_scaffold_226875_3B